rnacentral:rRNA from 1 species
ACUCAAAUGAAUAGACGGGGGCCCGCACAAGCAGUGGAGCAUGUGGUUUAAUUCGAAGCAACGCGAAGAACCUUACCAGGACUUGACAUCCCGCUGAUCGGAGUAGAGAUAUUCCUUCCCUUCGGGGCAGCGGUGACAGGUGGUGCAUGGUUGUCGUCAGCUCGUGUCGUGAGAUGUUGGGUUAAGUCCCGCAACGAGCGCAACCCUUGAACUGUGUUGCCAGCAUUCAGUUGGGCACUCACAGUUGACUGCCGGUGACAAACCGGAGGAAGGCGGGGAUGACGUCAAAUCAUCAUGCCCCUUAUGUCCUGGGCUACACACGUGCUACAAUGGGCGGUACAACGGGAAGCAAGACCGCGAGGUGGAGCCAAACCCUGAAAACCGUUCGUAGUUCGGAUUGCAGGCUGCAACUCGCCUGCAUGAAGCCGGAAUUGCUAGUAAUCGCGGAUCAGCAUGCCGCGGUGAAUCCGUUCCCGGGCCUUGCACACACCGCCCGU